GCCCGGUUAGCUCAAUCGGUAGAGCGUGAGACUCUUAAUCUCAAGGUUGCGGGUAUGUUACAGUCUCAACAUUCAGCUCGACAAUUACUAACAGUCUGGACCAGGUUCGACCCCCGCAUCGGGCU